UGCUGUACACGCCCACCAGAGAAACCCAUGCGCGACGGUAAACUACACCGCUCGAUCUCCUUCCCCAUCUUCUUCCCUGCUGCCGGCGCCCCGCAGCGUCUCCCGAACUCCUCCCCCGCCUUCUUCCUCGUCGGGCCUCCUCUGCCGCUUCUUCCCCCCACCUACCCCUAGGCCAGCACCUCACCUUCAACUCGAUCCCCAUCACCACCAUUCGCAUCUAACCGUGCUCCACUCGCUCCGACGCCGGCCGAUUUGCCCCUUGGUGGUGGCUGUUGUUGGCAGAAAGCGGUCGCAUGCAACUACUAGGACCUGACCGCAUCCAGCUUUCUUUUGCUAUUUUUCUUUGUUCUCCAUUCGUGACCUUUUCUUCCACAAAACCGGCUCACGUUUCUCUCUCUUGGCUAAGUCAGCCCAUUUCUCUCUCUGUUUGAUAAGUCCUCUCUCUUGUUUUUUUUUUGAUUGUUUUUUUGAUUGUUGUACUAAGAAAAAAACAUUCGAUAUCAAAAACAAAAAAAAAAUUCGUUCCUGGGUGAUUAAUUCAGGCCAGAUCUGGGCAGUAGCGGGCCUGCGGGUGUUGCGCACACGGGAUUCUCCUACUUGAUUUCUGUAGUGAUUUAGAUCUACACUUUCUUUAGUCUGGUUCUUGAUUUCUUGCAUUUCUCUCUCCUGUCCUUGGAUUUUUUAUCUCUUCAUCUCUUGAAUUCCAGUACCAGAGCGCCCAUGCUGGAUGGAUGGAUGAUGUUUUUUUUUUGAACGGCGGCGCGACGGCCACUCCUGUACCCAUUCCUCCCGCAUGGCCCGUUUCAUCCCUGCUCACCCUCGCAUGGUUUUCUUUUGAUCUCAAUUUUCUUCAACACUUUUCUUCGAUCUGGAUAUCAUGUUGUUGCCGAUCAAGAUACCAUGUUGUUUUCUUGUACAUGGUUACCGAUCCAAGAUCCAGAUCCCAUGUUUCUUUAAACGAUUCAGAUCCCAUGUUCACUGAAAGAAGUUUUUACAUGGAUUUGCUUCACCACACGGAGUUGAUUCCUUUGUACAUAGUCUGUACCCGAUCCAGAUCCUGUUAAUUUUUUUGCACAUCACCGAUCGGGCCAGUUCUUUUGCUUCACCUUCAAUUAGGAUCAUGUUGAUUUUUGUUUGCCUCCUCCCCUGCGGCAGACCGUACGGCACCGCGUCCUGCGCAACGCCACGCCGCCGGUCGGGUCGUUCGUGACCCUAAUUCCCCGCCGACGGUUGCGAGCAGAUCCACUAGCCGGAGGUGAAGAAGCCGGUAGAGGUCGGGCCUCGCAUGUCGUUCUUUUUUUGAAUCUAUUUUGUCUUCACUUUUUUUUUGUUUCCGAUCUGAAUAAUUCACGUUUGAGGGAAUCAGGUCCAUGCCGAUUUUUAAUCUGUGGCUAUUGUGGCGCCCCCCGCCAGAUCUGCACGGUGAAGGAUGCCGCUGGAGGGAUCGCGGCAAGGAGAAGGAGGGAGCUCGGCCAGUGUCUCCGGCGAGGUUGUUUUUUUCCUUUGCAAGGACAGCAGAGGGAGCAGUCGUAUGCAGGGAUAAUGUUUGGUCAUCUUGUGAUUAGCGUGAAAGUCUAUGGUGCGGGUCUCAGGCCGGGUCAGAGGCGAGAAGAGGAAGCGCGUCCGUCUUGGGCAUCCAGGGAGAUCCAACAUGCAGCGAAUGAAGAAUAAACCUAGGUGGAGGCAGUCGUGAGGAUGUAAAUGUUUUUUGGUCGAUCUGGAUUUGCAUCACUCUUUUUUGCUGAUCUCGAUUUUUUUGUGUGCCCAAUUCAGAUUCCAUGUCGAUUUUUUUGUUCAUGGUGUUUCCCGGAUCCAGAUCCUAUGGUCAUUGAAAUAAAUGGUAGAAAUUGGUUAA